rnacentral:rRNA from 1 species
AUGGCGCCGCUCAGCGCCGGCGCGGCCGCGGCGGCGUGGGCGGCCGUGCGGGCGCGCGCGGUCGCCCCGGCGCUGACGGCCGCGGUGUGGGCGUGCCUCGCCAUGUCGGCCAUGCUCCUCCUCGAGGCCGCCUGCAUGAGCCUCGUCAGCCUCGUCGCCGUCCGCCUGCUGCGGCUGCGGCCCGAGCGGAGGUUCAAGUGGGAGCCCAUGACCGGGGCCCUGGAGGGGGGCGAGGCCGACGUGGAGGACCCGGCGGGCCGCCGCGAGUUCCCCAUGGUGCUCGUGCAGAUCCCCAUGUACAACGAGAAGGAGGUGUACAAGUUGUCCAUUGGAGCUGUUUGUGCUCUCACAUGGCCGCCAGACCGUAUUAUAAUCCAAGUCUUGGAUGAUUCAACUGAUCCCAUUAUUAAAGAACUAGUGGAGCUUGAAUGCCAGGAGUGGGCUAGCAAGAAAAUUGACAUAAAGUAUGAAGUUAGAAAUAACAGGAAGGGAUACAAAGCUGGAGCUUUGAAGAAAGGCAUGGAACAUGUAUAUGCGCAACAGUGUGAAUUCGUUGCUAUCUUCGACGCAGAUUUCCAACCUGAAUCUGACUUCCUUUUAAAAACUAUACCAUUUCUUGUGCAUAACCCGAAGAUUGCGCUUGUGCAAACACGCUGGAAGUUUGUUAACUACGAUGCUUGCCUGAUGACAAGGAUACAGAAGAUGUCCCUGGACUAUCAUUUCAAAGUCGAGCAGGAAUCAGGCUCAUUUAUGCAUGCUUUCUUUGGUUUCAAUGGUACAGCUGGUGUGUGGCGUGUAUCUGCUAUUAAUGAGUCAGGAGGAUGGAAAGAUCGCACCACUGUGGAGGACAUGGACCUGGCUGUACGGGCAUGUCUCAAGGAAUGGGAAUUCUUGUAUGUAGGUGAUAUAAGGGUCAAGAGUGAACUCCCAAGUACCUUCAAGGCCUACCGUCAUCAACAGCAUAGGUGGACUUGUGGUGCUGCCAAUCUCUUCAGAAAAAUGGGAUGGGAAAUUGUGACAAACAAGGGGGUAUCAAUAUGGAAGAAAUGGCACCUUUUAUACAGCUUUUUGUUUGUACGGAGGGUCAUUGCUCCCAUCCUCACAUUCUUGUUCUACUGCGUUGUCAUUCCAUUAUCUGCCAUGGUUCCUGAAGUCCAUAUUCCUGUGUGGGGGUUGGUCUACAUUCCUACUGCCAUUACUAUCAUGAAUGCCAUCAGGAAUCCUGGGUCUCUCCAUCUGAUGCCAUUCUGGAUUCUGUUUGAAAAUGUAAUGUCCAUGCACCGUAUGCGUGCAGCUCUAACCGGUUUACUUGAGACUGCGCACGUAAAUGAUUGGGUGGUUACUGAGAAGGUAGGAGAUGUGGUGAAGGACGAUUUUGAAGUCCCACUCCUUGAACCACUGAAGCCCACUGAAUGUGUGGAGAGGAUUUACAUCCCUGAGCUCUUGCUCGCGCUCUACCUCUUGAUAUGCGCCUCGUAUGACUACGUGCUUGGAAGCCAGACAUACUUCAUGUACAUCUACCUCCAGGCCUUGGCAUUCAUUGUAUUAGGGUUCGGUUUCGUCGGCAUGAAAACUCCGUGUUCAUAG